rnacentral:lncRNA from 1 species
UUGUGCUUCAGCAUCCAGACACCCCAAGAGAAGACUGGGACACCCCAAGGGAAGACUGGGAUACGCCCCAGGGAAGACUUGGAGCCCAGACCUCGGCUCUGCUCUAUCCUUCCCUUCUUGGUGUGCAGUGGCUCCUGGAUACAGCAAAGGAAGAAGCCAAAAAUGGGCCCACAGCUCCUCACUCCCUUCUUCUAUGUCCUUCGUGAGCGAGGCUGGAAUUAUCAAUGGAAAUAUCAGGUCUUUGGAAAGUGCAGGUGACAUUUUCCAGCCCCCUUCCUGGAUCAGUAUCACCGGGGAAAAAUCUGUCACAGACACAGGUGUUAAAGAGCCUGGUGCUCCGAUGCCAGGGACCAGAGUCUGAGGUCAGUGCCCGCUCUCCGUGUACCUUCAGAGAAUUCCACCUUCCUGUCAGUGAGAUCCCGUCUCUUCUCAAGCAGCUUCCAUUUGGAAAGCACCAGCUGGUUUUUCUGUCUUUCACAGCAGCCUGGCUCUUUUCAUCUUAUCAAGCCUGACACACACUUCCAUGCUAGCCCGCAUCACAGGAGGAUCAUGAGCCCAGCUACCUCUAACAGUGAUGAGAAC